GGUAUCUGCUGUGACAUUACUUGUGAUGUCAAACAUUGGAAGAAAUAUAAAAGCUGAUAAAUUUUUCAAAUAACAUUGUGUCUUUAGUUUGUGUGUGUGUGUGUGUGUGUGUGUGUGUGUGUGUGUGUGUGUCUGGUACAGGGGAUUGAACCCAUGAUCUCACACAUGCUA
rnacentral:sRNA from 1 species